GCUGAAUUUAAGUGCAUUACCACCAUGCCUCUACAAUCCAGAUUUCUUUCGCAGCUAGAUGUCCUAUCUGACAAAAUCCUGCAGCUAUUUGUGAAAAGAGGAGGCCAAAUUGGACGAAAACUGAAGAGCAUGCAGAGAAUGAUGUUGAUCUUGCAAGAAAGUGUGUUUUCAAGGGACUGUGUGUGUACCUUAAUGAGGACCCACAAAAUCUGGUUAAAGAGUACAUGGUAGAAGACAAAGAUGUCAUCCAAAAAGCUAUAGAGGAGACCACUGUUGGAAUGUGUGUCAUCAAAGGACUACAUGCCUGUGAUACCCUGGAGGACAUUGCCAUUGUUCUUAAAGGCCAAACAGUAUUACAAGAUCUGGAUAAAGUUACAUUAGCCACUGCCAUGUUGUUUGGCCUGACUUUGCAGCACUGACUGGAGCCCUGGGAGUGAUUAUAAAGCUGAGGGCACAGGUGUGCCUUGAUUGAAUGCCGGGCGAGCCCGAAACCCCGGAGUGGAGGAAGGACCAUGAGGAGCUUAGUGAGUCCAGCUGGCUCAUGACACUUGGGCUGUUUUUGUAUUUCUCUGAAUAUUGCUGGGACGUUCUCUCCUGAAAUGAUGGGCAACUGAAUGCUUUUCACCUGUGAAUAAUUUUUCUAACUGUAGACCAUUGAACUCCAAAUUUUUUGGAAAGGAUUUUAUAAACCCUUCUGAUUGUGACUCAACUGUUUCUCUAAGACCAUUGCUUAUGUCUUUCCAUAUUGCCCCUGCAUUAACACAUAUCACAAGAGCAAACUAGGGACACAGGAGGAAUGGGGUUUGGUGCCAAGCAAAUCCUCAUAACUGGCUCUCCCUCACUCUAACUGAUGAAACAGAUUUGCUAAAAUGUCUGAACUUGUUAACAUUAUGCUGAUUUAAGUUUGUAAAGAAAAAAAAAACACCUAGAAAUUAAGUGAGAAAUUCAAAGUAUAUAUGAACACAGUGAUACCCACAAUUCAGUACGGCAGGACAUUAACUUCACUUUCUCAAUAGUAUUUUAAUUUGUCAUUAUAAUAUUUUUUAAAUUAAUAUUUUAUUAAUUAAGUAUUUAUUUUUAAUGUGACAGUUUCGAAUAUGUACUCUGUGUCUCCUGGUGUGUUGUUUCACUUCCUCUGCUGUGAAGGCUGUGGGUUUAUUUGUUCCCACACUGGACUAAGGUGUGAAAAUGUCCUCUACA